GAAACCUGUCACCAUUGUGUUAACACUAGGAAGGUAAUAAGACUAUUAAAAAGAACCACAUAACUCAUUUAUAACACAUUUAUUUCAAUCAAAUCUCACUAAAAACCAGUUUAGAACUACUUUUGAAAAUGUCCACAAGAUCCUCACUGAAGCCCGACUUUACUGAAAGUCGUGAGAGCAAGGCAUCAUGGGUAGAAUCAGCCCUGCAGACUUCUCUUGCGAUAUCCCCAGUUUCUGCAGUUGUCAGGGGCUGCAGGACUCAAUGUGUGAAUUUUAUCGUAGUUUAGGAGUCAGCCAUAGGAAGAACAACAGCAAACAGCAGGGAAGCACGGACACCGACACAAGGAAGCACUGACAAAAUGGGACGAAUCAAUCCAGUUAACCCCAGAAGAUGCUGCUUUGUAUGAGAUGAAGGCGCAGGUGUUUAUGGGUGUCCAUGAAAUAUUCCCAGCAGUGCAAGCAGCUGAAACAGCAGUACAACAUAAUCCACAUUUUGUAGAAGCCUGGCAGACUUUGGGACGAGCCCAGUUGGGUUUAGGAGAAAUUA